rnacentral:rRNA from 1 species
UACGUAGGGGGCAAGCGUUGUCCGGAAUUAUUGGGCGUAAAGAGCGUGUAGGCGGUCCGGUAAGUCGGCUGUGAAAGUCCAGGGCUCAACCCUGGGAUGCCGGUCGAUACUGCCGGACUAGAGUUCGGAAGAGGCGAGUGGAAUUCCCGGUGUAGCGGUGAAAUGCGCAGAUAUCGGGAGGAACACCUAUGGCGAAGGCAGCUCGCUGGGACGUUACUGACGCUCAGGCACGAAAGCGUGGGGAGCAAACAGG